CGUCUUCAACCUGCUGCGGGCAAAUCCAGUGAAUGUGGGCAUCAAUACCGCCAGCGGUAAUGAUAUUGCCUUCACCGGCAAUGAUUUCGGUUCCCGGACCAAUGAUGAUGUCGACACCGGGCUGAACAUCCGGGUUGCCGGCCUUGCCGAUCCCGGCAAUGCGGCCAUCACGAAUGCCGAUAUCGGCCUUGAUGAUGCCGGUGUAAUCAAGGAUCAGGGCAUUGGUGAUUACGGUAUCAACCGCACCAUCGGCGCGCGUUGCCUGUGACUGACCCAUGCCAUCACG
rnacentral:sRNA from 1 species